CUGUAAUCAACACCGUUCAGCACGUCUGCGGCGCACGAUGCAGCGACAUCCGUGUGGCCCAAUAGAGCGAAACUCUUCUUGUUUACACAGCGCGCUACUUUUCAGAACCAACAAAUUACGGCCUUGCUGACGACGGCACGACAACUUCUGGCUGCACAAGCAACAGCGGCCGCACAUCAGACCGACCAACACGCCCAACACGUGUCGCAGCCCAGCACACUUACACAAUGUGAUCAAAAGGUCUUGUGAAAAUGCGAGAUGUGGGUCCCGAUGAGUACUUGUACCUCAGGAACACCAUCAUCCCAGCGAUGCGAGAAGCUGUGCUGUCAGUCCGUCGAACAAUGAAGG